CACUACUUUUGAGCGGCUGAUGAAAUGGACUUGAUCAAAUAAUAAAGAGAAGUUGGAUGCUGUGAGGAAUAAAGAGUGGGAUAAUUAAGACACAUUAGCAAGCUCAGUGGGAAACAAAGAAGUCAGCUCGAAGAAGUCACCUUUGUCUUAAAAGGAAGAGAAAGAGAAGGUAAUCUCUGGCUUUUUUUUUCUUCCCCCAUUUGCCUUUGAGAUGUCAAACUUACUUUUCACAUCUUCAUUUUCCUCCUGAUUCUUUGUUUGUUCUUGGAGGGCAGGAGGAAAGAAGGGUCCCCACCUACUCAAGUGCCCCAGCUGGGAUUUUUCUGGUGGAGCUGGGGGACAAUGAAAAGCAUUGAACCGUGGGGAGCUUCAACCACAAAGACAAAAAGUCUUCUUGCAUCCAAUCAAGAAUCCUACCAGCCCCCAGGUGAGGGCGUUCAGUCAGACCCCUGGGUGAGGCUCUGUUGCUCUAACUGUGACAUAGUUCUGAUAUCCAGGAGAAAUCCAGGAAGAAAUGAAGACGUAUGUGAAAUUCAUUCAGCUUCAUACUCCAACCAAAUGGGCCACUUGGAACAUUAAAUGGUACAAUAUAUUCUUAUUGGGGUUGAAUGUGCAACGUUUCUUGGGGAAUUCCUCUGUUC
rnacentral:lncRNA from 1 species